rnacentral:rRNA from 1 species
CCUACGGGAGGCAGCAGUGGGGAAUAUUGCACAAUGGGGGAAACCCUGAUGCAGCGACGCCGCGUGAGCGAUGAAGUAUUUCGGUAUGUAAAGCUCUAUCAGCAGGGAAGAAAAUGACGGUACCUGACUACGAAGCCCCGGCUAACUACGUGCCAGCAGCCGCGGGAAUACGUAGGGGGCAAGCGUUAUCCGGAUUUACUGGGUGUAAAGGGAGCGUAGACGGUCCUGCAAGCCAGAUGUGAAAGCCCGGGGCUCAACCCCGGGACUGCAUUUGGAACUGUAAGGCUAGAGUGUCGGAGAGGCAGGCGGAAUUCCUAGUGUAGCGGUGAAAUGCGUAGAUAUUAGGAGGAACACCAGUGGCGAAGGCGGCCUGCUGGACGAUGACUGACGUUGAGGCUCGAAAGCGUGGGGAGCAAACAGGAUUAGAUACCCGAGUAGUC